ACAGUGGUAGUUCAGUGGUUGAAUUCUUGUCCUCCAUGCAGGAGACCUGGGUUUGAUUCCCGGCCAAUGUA
rnacentral:tRNA from 1 species